CUACACGAUUUUACAGCUGCCCAGCACUGGGGAAAUGAACUGAUAGGCACGCGGAACUUAUUUGAAUGGCUCAUAAUUCUUAUAAACACUGGAGAAUUAAAGCAACACUCGCGAUGACACUGAUCUUCAUAAGGGAACCAGGACAUCUCUCCCAACCAUGGUUACUGAGUAAAUCCCCUCUGGACUCAAAGAUGACCAGAACCAGACUUGAGUCAGCAGUGGUCAAAUGGAGCUUUUGCACCAAGCAUCAUUGUGGAAUUUUAUGCUCAGGGUCUUCGUUCGGGAGAGACGCUGCAAGUGUACUGAUUGAACAGGCCCAUGAUCCACAGUUUUGGCUGCACCGACUGUUUGCAUCUCAGUUUGUGAGCUAAUUACAGCAGGGCUCAUAUGUGUCUGUGUACAAGAAUAAUCGCUGCAUGACUGGGACAUGAAUGAUGCAACUUUUUAAAUUCAGUUUUACAUAUAUUCAAAAUUUAAUGUGUGGCCAUAAUAAUUUUCUUCAUGAAUAAAAAUAUGCAUGUU